GCUGGGCGUGGUGGUGUGCACCUGUAGUCCCAGCUACUUGGGAGGCUGUGGUAGGAGGAUUGCUUGAGUCCAGGAGUUUGAGGCUGCAGUGAGCUAUGAUGGUGCCACUGUACUCCAGCCUGGGCAAUACAGUGAGACCCUGUCUCUA
ensembl:misc_RNA Metazoa_SRP Metazoan signal recognition particle RNA